UGGGAUAGUUCAGUUGGUGGAGCAUGAGGCUCUUAAUUUCAUGGUUGUUGGUUUGAGCCCCACACAGAGAAAAA